CUGACAUUUGCUUAAGUAGGUUGGGGUGAGGAUGGGCUGGUGCCUGCUUUGAGGAGGUGCUGGCCAGUUUCUGAUUCUGGACAGCAGUCUCUGCUCCAAAGAACCAGUCUGAAAGAUUAGACAUGGGAGAGGAUAAGAUCAAGAAAUAAAUCAGACUGGAACAGACAAGUAGGAAACACAGGCUUAAAGGAAAAGUAGUGGACGACGAGGGGUUCUUCAGAGCAGCCCAUCAGUCUCAUUCACUGCAGAGAAGAAAGAGUUGAGAACUUCAGUUUCAAGAGGCACUGUUGUACAUUGAUCUCUGUGGGCACGCUCCGCUAACUGCCAAGAUAUAAUGCAGCGUGUAGCAUGCUUAUGACUCGCAUCACAAUAACGUGGAAGUCAAGUCAGUGUGGGCUAUGCUGCUGCUGCUACACAUGGAGGUGAGGAGAGGGAGCACUUGAGUGAAGAAGGGACAAGCAGAAGCCCUGCGCUGCAGUUCCCUGUCAGGCUCAUGGCAAGUCAGGACACUACAGAACAGGAGCAAAGAGGCCUGCAGCAAAAAUGAGCUGGUCUAGGAUGUGUCUGGCCAUCUGCAGUGACCUCAUCCUACUGAAAAGCCACAGGGAUUUCUUGCCAGGUCACUGCUGAAUUUGCAGGUCUUUGGUUUUGCAUGUGUUUUAUUUGAGGAUUAGCCUUACUAAAUGUAGAUUAAAUGCCUAUCUACAUACAUUUGCAAAUAUGUUCAGGGAUAGUGGGCCUAGCAAUUCUCUCUGUACCUUUGCUUUUCAUGCAAAACAGUCUAUCUUGGUUUAAUGAUCUUGAGCCAGACUGACAAAUGUUAAUAUUAAUUAUCUUUCUUACUUAGAUGGAAUCUAAGGGUUUGGAAAUAUUUUUCCUUAUCUAGCUCUUUCAAGAAAUAAGAACCUUGAGUAUUAGGGUUGGUGGUGGUGCUAAGGAGAACAUGCAGACUUCUGUUUUUAGCCAAAAAGACUAGGUACUGCUCUGAUAAUAUGGCUAGCAGAUGGGGAGCAUGCAGCUGGCUAAGCGCUGACAAUUAGGCUGGGCAGCCCAUGCAGCUGAGUUCUUUGCUCUUGGCAAAAGAACACAUGGCUUCUUGGCAGUGAAACUGGGUCUUAUUCUAUUGAUAAGAAUGCACACUUUCCUUAUUUGCAUGCACAAUAAAUGCAGAUUUCACAGUAAGCUAAUGAUAGGUGUCUAUGAGGUAUGACAGUAUCAGCUCAAUUGUUGAUUUAGCUAUUCUGGUAGAAAAUGCACCUUAUUAGUUUCAUACUGCAAUAGGAAGAGGUUCAGUUGUACUCACAAGCUCUGCUGGAGCUGUAUCUAUUGUUCUGCCGGUUCAUACCCAAUAUAAAUACACUAGAGAAACCCUUUUUCAGCUUUGCAGAUCAUAAGAAAUAAAGAGCACUCUGAGUAAGAAUGCUACUGAAUAAAGCAUUGAGUAAUCCGAGCUUAUGGAACAGAAAAAUCAAGCAGUAUAUGAAAGUGAGAAGCAUAGUUCAUAUACAUAUUGUAAUAAAUAACAUAAAUUAAUUCUCAAUAAGUUAUUUUUAAGGUAGGCUUCUUGCUUUGAAAAAUAGCUACUAAGUUUAGUCUAGUCAACUACUGUUAAAUGAAUUCUCCAACCAGAUUAGUAUAAUACUCAGCUUACACUAGAAAAGCAGCAUCUACGCUAUCCCCUUUUUUUCCUUCUGUUUCUGCCUUAUAUUGCCACAAUUGCUAACAGGACCUACCAUUUAAUAUCACAUCUGGAUGGGACAUAUUGUGGCUGUAAUUAUACUUACCUAAGUAUAUUUUUAAAUUUUCCCCUCCAUAUUAUAUGAGUAUAUCUUUCUAAGUGUAUCUUUCUAUAUUAAAGUUUAAAAUAAAGGCAAAGAAUGAAGUAUAUUGAAGAGAGCCAGGUAGAAAGACUAGCAGAUCUACUUUGUAGCAUCAUGUAGGUAAGCUGGCUGAUUCUUUGUGUGGUUUUCAAUGCAGAUAUCAUACAUUUUUAGACAGUGGCUUUCAGAUUAUGAAAAUAUGUUCUUUUUUGCAUAUAAAAAUAAUCAGCUUCUAAAGCUCUGAUCUGGUAUGUCAGUUUCAUGCUGAAUCCUCAGAUUUGUACGUGAUUAUAAGUCUCUGUGGUUGUUAAGCUAGUAAUCCACUUGUAGUUUGCAUUAAAAAUUGCUAGUAGUGUUCCGUGACCUGUGGAUGAAAGUGUCAGUGCUCAACAGAAAAGAUCUUUGUUUUCACCUUUAAAAGGCUGCUGGCUUGUUACUGCUUCCUCAGGCAGAAAAGUUUAAAAUUAAUGUAAAGAUCAUUUGACCUUACAGUUUAGAGAAAUUGAGGUUCUGUCAUGGUAAUCCUAAUGGCUGUGACUGUGACACCUACAACUUGCAGCUUUCUAGGAGACUCAUAUGUACUGCAUUGCAUCAGAGAGUAAUUUUGAUAGCUCUGCCCUUACCCUCUUUAGACAAAUGAUUACACGCACAGAACUUCCCUUUCUGAGCUAGUGGCUCCAGGAGAGGGAUCCAUUCACAGUGAAAUCCUCUUAUUCAGCACUCUUGUUGGCAAGCUGUUGUGGGUAUGGCAUGGACAUUUGGAAUAGCUAUAAUAAAUGUAGCAUGAAAGGUAAGUGGAUAAUAUUAGUAGUAUAAAUAAAUUCUAGGUACUUUCCAUACUAAGCACGCUUGCAGAUUGUUAUUUGAAUGCAGACGGUGUGAUAAUUAAAAUACAUCAGACAGACUUGAUUUAUUUGACACAUGAAAUGCAAUUAUGUAUUAUUUAUGGAACUUGAAUAUUAAGAUUUUUUUUUCAUUAAUUGAAGUAUGAAAGCAAAAUACAUUGUUGAUGUUAUUUUUUCUGUAAGAGAUUCUUAAAACAACUUACUUACAGCUCAGGCAUAAAAUAAAGAAAAGGCAGAAUGGUCAGCCUGGCUGUGAAACUUCAUCAGUAGGAAAAUGCACAACUUUGUAAAGGAGGAGAACAAAGAUUUUCAACAAAGCCAUCCUUAUAUCUUAUAUAAACAGUCAUUAUGCACCUUCUUCUGGCAGGAAAUUACUAUUUAAUAUGCAGAAAUAGUGGCUACUUAAAAGCAGUGUGAAUGAUGAUGUAUUUAAGAAUAAUUUAAUCAGCUGCUUCUCUAUUUAAGCUGCUCUAUUUAAGAUCCCUAAUUUAAAAAGCAAACAACAAAAACACAUAAUUUGUGAAAGAACUGUAAAUGCUAACAAAAGUUUUGUGCUGCUGUAUGCUUUUAAAUAGUUUUAUUUUCCAGUGUAUUGGAGUUUGCUUGUAAUUGAAAAGCAUUUAUGAGAUCAGUCAGAUCACUGAAUUACAGAAUGGCUGAUGUGGAUGGGUACUUCUGAAGAUCAUCAUACCCCAGCCCUCUCCUCAAAGCAGGUGUCAGCUGGAGCAUGUUGUUUAGAGCCACAAUUAGUGGAGUUUUGUAUAGCUCCAAGGACAGAAACUCUAUGACCUCUCUAAGCAACCUGUGCUGUUGCUCAGCCAUCCUAGUGGCAAGGAAAGUUUUUCUCAUGUUUGAACAGAAUUUCCUGUGUUAUCAGUCUGUACCUGUUGCCUCUUCUCCUGUCACUGGACAUCAACCCCAGACAUCAAGUAUUUGUUCACUUUGGUAAGAUCCUUCCUGUGCCUUCUCUCCUUCAGGCUGAACAAUGCAUGUCUCUCAGCUUCUCCUCAGAUUUUAGAUGCUCCACGCCAUUAAUGUUCUUGAUGGGUCAUUGAUGGGUCCACUCCAGAUGGGCUAUAGCUCAAAGGUUCAUCUAAAGUGCUAGUGUCCAUCUGAAGAGCUAGUUAGAAGAUAGAUAAUUCUAUGAUCUCAUGCAAGCGGGUUGCUGUUAUGUAAUGUGUGAUAAAGUUUUGUAACUGACCCAUACUGAAUGCUUCCAACAGGUGAACAAGCAAGCUUGUCAGCACUCCCUCUCCAGAACUAUCAAAAGAAUAAUGUGUGCUCACCCAAUUUAAAUCUGUUUGCUGAAUGUCCAGAUACGCUUUGCAAAAUGUUCAUGAACCAUUAGAAAGCUGGAGUCUUUCAGAUGAGUUCAGGAUGCAUUGUGUUAGUGUCUUAAUGUCCAGCCGAAGUAGCAGGUCUAAUUGACUACUAUCUCUGCUUAGAUUAAGGAAGAAAUCGAAUUUCAAAAUAUGGGUAAACGUCAGAAACAGGGUUAAAGGUGUAACAACACAGACUAUAAGAGAGGAAGAACUGAGCAAUGACAGACAGAUCCUCAGCUUCAACAGUCAUCCCAUUCUCCAUCAACACACUGUUUUAUUCUAUUUUCCUUGGUUAAAAACAAGAACUAAGAAAAUUCCGUCACCUUUGUUUCUAUUUCUGACUAUCACUAUAGUAGCAAGCAAAUGCUAUGGAUCUGAAUCUGUUGCGCAUCUGCUCUUAAAAAACAAAGUCUGUUUUAUCCUCACAGUCACAGUGAGAUCUACCCAAAGGUGGCAAUAUCAAUCAUCUUCAAAAAAAGAUGCAACAAUUUCAAAGGCAUUUGCAGCUCUAAGAAAAACAAAAUACGGUAACAAGUCAUGUUUGGGAUACACAACACUUUAAGAAUUGGUUAAAAUCGGUGACAUUGCUUCAAAAGCUUCCUCUUUGAAUUUUUGGGGUUUUUUGAUCUUGUGUAGAAUAUAGUGAUGAUAUAUCGGUGAUGAUGUUGUCACAUAUAGGUAAGACUAACACUACAUCCAUAAAGGUAAUAGGAACUUUAUCUUUGUGUUUUAAGCAAAACCAGUAUAAACAUAUAAUGCUUGUUAGUUAACACUGCUGCCUCAGAUUAUGUUACUGAACACUCCUUUGGCAGAUGCAUUAGAAAUAAACAUUUCCCUGGCAUUCUGCUCUUUCCUUAGCUUCAGUGUGUAAGUGACUGCAAAGCGGUGACUGCACCAUCCUUUGACUAGGUUACAGAUGUGUGCAUGGUUAUCCUUGGGAAUGAGAAGACAUAAAUGAGACUUGAAAUUUUUACAUGCUCUUUGUACAAUUUAGGGCAAAUGUUUUUCUUGGAGGAGGCCUGAAUUUGGAAACCAUUAUUUUGAAGAUUCUGGGGUAAUUAUGAACCUAGG